rnacentral:misc_RNA from 1 species
GAAAUGCGAUAAGUAAUGUGAAUUGCAGAAUUCAGUGAAUCAUCGAAUCUUUGAACGCACAUUGCGCCCGCCAGUAUUCUGGCGGGCAUGCCUGUUCGAGCGUCAUUUCAACCAUUAAGCCCCGGGCUUGUGUUGGGGACCUGCGGCUGCCGCAGGCCCUGAAAAGCAGUGGCGGGCUCGCUGUCACACCGAGCGUAGUAGCAUACAUCUCGCUCUGGGCGUGCUGCGGGUUCCGGCCGUUAAACCACCUUCGUAACCCAAGGUUGACCUCGGAUCAGGUAGGAAGACCCGCUGAACUUAAGC